AACAGGAUUAGAUACCCUGGUAGUCCACGCCGUAAACGAUGAGUGCUAAGUGUUAGGGGGUUUCCGCCCCUUAGUGCUGCAGCUAACGCAUUAAGCACUCCGCCUGGGGAGUACGGCCGCAAGGCUGAAACUCAAAGGAAUUGACGGGGGCCCGCACAAGCGGUGGAGCAUGUGGUUUAAUUCGAAGCAACGCGAAGAACCUUACCAGGUCUUGACAUCCCGCUGCCCGGUGUAGAGAUACGCCUUUCCCUUCGGGGACAGCGGUGACAGGUGGUGCAUGGUUGUCGUCAGCUCGUGUCGUGAGAUGUUGGGUUAAGUCCCGCAACGAGCGCAACCCUUGAUCUUAGUUGCCAGCAUUCAGUUGGGCACUCUAAGGUGACUGCCGGUGACAAACCGGAGGAAGGUGGGGAUGACGUCAAAUCAUCAUGCCCCUUAUGACCUGGGCUACACACGUGCUACAAUGGACGGUACAAAGGGCUGCCAACCCGCGAGGGGGAGCCAAUCCCAGAAAACCGUUCUCAGUUCGGAUUGCAGGCUGCAACUCGCCUGCAUGAAGCCGGAAUCGCUAGUAAUCGUGGAUCAGCAUGCCACGGUGAAUACGUUCCCGGGCCUUGUACACACCGCCCGUCACACCACGAGAGUUUGUAACACCCGAAGUCGGUGAGGUAACCACUUGUGGAGCCAGCCGCCGAAGGUGGGACAGAUGAUUGGGGUGAAGUCGUAACAAGGUAACC
rnacentral:rRNA from 1 species